rnacentral:rRNA from 1 species
UACAGAGGUCUCAAGCGUUGUUCGGAUUCAUUGGGCGUAAAGGGUGCGUAGGCGGUGAAGUAAGUCAGGUGUGAAAUCCCGGAGCUCAACUCCGGAACUGCACUUGAUACUGCUUUGCUAGAGUACCGGAGAGGAGACUGGAAUUUACGGUGUAGCAGUGAAAUGCGUAGAGAUCGUAAGGAAGACCAGUGGCGAAGGCGAGUCUCUGGACAGUUACUGACGCUGAGGCACGAAGGCCAGGGGAGCAAACGGG